rnacentral:rRNA from 1 species
CGGACGGGUGAGUAACGCGUGAGUAACCUGCCUUACACAAGGGGAUAGCCGUUGGAAACGACGAAUAAUACCCUAUGACAUAAACUCUUCGCAUGAAGAGCUUAUCAAAGAUUUAUCGGUGUAAGAUGGACUCGCGUCUGAUUAGCUAGUUGGUGAGGUAACGGCCCACCAAGGCAACUAUCAGUAGCCGGCUUGAGAGAGUGUACGGCCACAUUGGGACUGAGACACGGCCCAGACUCCUACGGGAGGCAGCAGUC